rnacentral:rRNA from 1 species
ACGGGAGGCAGCAGUGGGGAAUAUUGGGCAAUGGGCGCAAGCCUGACCCAGCAACGCCGCGUGAAGGAAGAAGGUUUUCGGAUUGUAAACUUCUGUCCUAAGUGACGAAGGAAGUGACGGUAGCUUAGGAGGAAGCCCCGGCUAACUACGUGCCAGCAGCCGCGGUAAUACGUAGGGGGCAAGCGUUGUCCGGAAUGACUGGGCGUAAAGGGCGUGUAGGCGGCCGAUUAAGUCCGGAGUGAAAGUCCUGCUUUCAAGGUGGGAAUUGCUUUGGAGACUGGUUGGCUUGAGUGCGGAAGAGGUAAGUGGAAUUCCCGGUGUAGCGGUGAAAUGCGUAGAGAUCGGGAGGAACACCAGUGGCGAAGGCGACUUACUGGGCCGUAACUGACGCUGAGGCGCGAAAGCGUGGGGAGCGAACAGGAUUAGAUACCCUGGUA